rnacentral:lncRNA from 1 species
AAAGAAUCAAACUUGUCUAGAAUCAAACUUGUUUGUAAAUAAUAAAACCAAAAAAAUAAGAGUAAGAAUAGGAAAUAAAUUUUAAUUCCUCUACUUUUUCUCCUACAGGAGUCUCAAAGGAAAUAAACAUUGCUGUUCCUCAGCAUGAAGAUCUAGAAUAAAAAAAAACACCACCACCACCACCACCAACAACAACAAAAAAACACAGGAAAGAAGCAUAAAGCAUGUUGGUCAAGCAAUCCUGAGUUGUACAUGUGCUGAGUGUUGUUGACUUGUUAAUGUGGUGUUGCCUUCAAAGACAAGCUGUAAACUGACACGGAGAAUUUAUCACUGGGCAGAUUGACUCAGACAUCCCAUCCAUUCACAAAGCUUGCAUAUGACAAUGGAAGGAAGUUGUCUUGGGAAGGAGGAGAAUCUCAGCCACCUACAAGACAGGUCAGAAGGGUUAUACUUAAUAUAAGAGGGGAAUAUUUAAACUGGUCUCACAUAAAUGUGAAACAACACAUUUAAAAAAUUG